AGGUGUUCAGAGAAAGUGUGGGAAAACCCAUAUUUCUGCAUUGUCAUUCGAACACAGAAAACACAGGAGGAAAAUGAGCUGUCACUCCAAUUCCCAUGAUGCCUUGCUGCUUAGCAUAACUCUACAGUGCGGCCCUGGGUCCACUGGUCCAUACUCUGACAGAUAAUUAAGAAAGCAGCAGCUUUUUCUAGACGGCUCUUCCUCAUGAUUUGCAUUUUAGCCAGAGGCGACCAGUUAUAAAAAAAACAUGAUGGAAAGAUGGUAAGAAGCCAAUUAGAUGGAUGGAUGGCUGACUGACAGCUCUCUGGUAUCACGACUCCAGAUUUCAGACUACAUAGCCUGGCAGUUUUCUACAAGAACCAACUUUUUUGCAGGAUCCCACAGAGGAUUGCAUAUAUUUCAGAAAAUGCUGAAGAAACAAUAGGAUGAAUGCAGAAUUCUGAAGACAAUAUACAGCAUCUUCACAUUUCAAGAGUCCUUUUACAACAGAAGUUUUCAAGCUCUUGGUAAAAGACAGAUUUUUUUUCCCCUAGGCCUGCUGUGCUGCAAAUUUUUUCAGUCCAUUGAAAUUUACUGCUCUUUUCACCUAAAAUCACUGUAAAUGUUGUGACAUGUCUAAAAAUGUGUCUGCCUCUCCCCUGUUUCUUCUAGCCUCAAACUAGUUUUUUUUUUAAUUUGACCAUACACUUACAAAGAGUGUAUUACUAUUUUUCUCACUAAGGCCUGUUAUUUAUUUUCCAUAUGACAAAUAGCUUUUUACUUGGCUUGGGUAAAUGCCAC
rnacentral:lncRNA from 1 species